GGAGAAAUGGCUCAGUGGUUAGGAGCACUUGGCUGUUAUUCCAGAGGACCUGGGUUCAAUUCCCAGCAUCCA
rnacentral:tRNA from 1 species